rnacentral:rRNA from 1 species
GCGGUGGAGCAUGUGGUUAAUUCGAAGCAACGCGAAGAACCUUACCAGGUCUUGACAUCCCGAUGCUAUUCUAGAGAUAGAAAGUUACUUCGGUACAUCGGUGACAGGUGGUGCAUGGUUGUCGUCAGCUCGUGUCGUGAGAUGUUGGGUUAAGUCCCGCAACGAGCGCAACCCCUAUUGUUAGUUGCCAUCAUUCAGUUGGGCACUCUAGCGAGACUGCCGGUAAUAAACCGGAGGAAGUGGGGAUGACGUCAAAUCAUCAUGCCCCUUAUGACCUGGGCUACACACGUGCUACAAUGGUUGGUACAACGAGUUGCGAGUCGGUGACGGCGAGCUAAUCUCUUAAAGCCAAUCUCAGUUCGGAUUGUAGGCUGCAACUCGCCUACAUGAAGUCGGAAUCGCUAGUAAUCGCGGAUCAGCACGCCGCGGUCGAAUACGUUCCCGGGCCUU